UACAGAGGGGGCAAGCGUUGUUCGGAAUUACUGGGCGUAAAGGGCGCGUAGGCGGCCUGUUAAGUCGAACGUGAAAUCCCUGGGCUCAACCCAGGAACUGCGUCCGAUACUGGCAGGCUUGAAUCCGGGAGAGGGAUGCGGAAUUCCAGGUGUAGCGGUGAAAUGCGUAGAUAUCUGGAGGAACACCGGUGGCGAAGGCGGCAUCCUGGACCGGUAUUGACGCUGAGGCGCGAAAGCCAGGGGAGCAAACGGG
rnacentral:rRNA from 1 species